GUCAUACUUACAUUCACAACCACAAGUAGUGAAAUUGUUCAAAACAUUUAAUUUUAUAAUUUCUUUAGCUUGUUAAUAUAAUUAGGUAUAUAGAUUGUUCUUGUGUCAUGUAACUCAUAUCCCUUUGCAAUUGAAAUUUCUUAUAUCAAGAGGAUGCUUAGAUCUGAAACAGUGAGAUUUGAAGAUGUGAGGCAGUAGAUCCUAUUUCUAAAAAAAUUCUAUCGAAAGAAAAUCAAGCAGUGACUAUGUCGUUGCAUCUUCUCAAAGAUCUGAAGAUGUGAGGCAGUAGAUCCUAUUUCUAAAAAAAAAUUAUCGAAAGAAAAUCAAGCAGUGACUAUGUCGUUGCAUCUUCUCAAAGAUUUUCUUGUGAAGAGAUUUUAUCGGUCAAACGAUGAUCAUGUCAUUGCAUCUUUAUCGUUAUUCAAACAAAGGGAGUAAAACUUUGGAGUAAAUGAG